rnacentral:rRNA from 1 species
CAGCAGUCGCCGCGGUAACACCGAGGGUGCGAGCGUUAAUCGGAUUUACUGGGCGUAAAGCGUGCGUAGGCGGCUAAUUGAGUCGGAUGUGAAAUCCCCGAGCUUAACUUGGGAAUUGCAUUCGAUACUGGUUAGCUAGAGUGUGGGAGAGGAUGGUAGAAUUCCAGGUGUAGCGGUGAAAUGCGUAGAGAUCUGGAGGAAUACCGAUGGCGAAGGCAGCCAUCUGGCCUAACACUGACGCUGAGGUACGAAAGCAUGGGGAGCAAACAGGAUUAGAUACCCCAGUAGUCCCUGUCUCUUAUAC